rnacentral:tRNA from 1 species
GGGGAUAUGGCUCAGUGAUAGAGCAUUUGCCUAGCAUGCUUCAGGUCCUGGGUUUGAUCCCCAGCAUUCCCA